GUUAAGCGACUAAGCGUACACGGUGGAUGCCCUGGCAGUCAGAGGCGAUGAAGGACGUGCUAAUCUGCGAUAAGCGUCGGUAAGGUGAUAUGAACCGUUAUAACCGGCGAUUUCCGAAUGGGGAAACCCAGUGUGUUUCGACACACUAUCAUUAACUGAAUCCAUAGGUUAAUGAGGCGAACCGGGGGAACUGAAACAUCUAAGUACCCCGAGGAAAAGAAAUCAACCGAGAUUCCCCCAGUAGCGGCGAGCGAACGGGGAGCAGCCCAGAGCCUGAAUCAGUGUGUGUGUUAGUGGAAGCGUCUGGAAAGGCGCGCGAUACAGGGUGACAGCCCCGUACACAAAAAUGCACAUGCUGUGAGCUCGAUGAGUAGGGCGGGACACGUGGUAUCCUGUCUGAAUAUGGGGGGACCAUCCUCCAAGGCUAAAUACUCCUGACUGACCGAUAGUGAACCAGUACCGUGAGGGAAAGGCGAAAAGAACCCCGGCGAGGGGAGUGAAAAAGAACCUGAAACCGUGUACGUACAAGCAGUGGGAGCACGCUUAGGCGUGUGACUGCGUACCUUUUGUAUAAUGGGUCAGCGACUUAUAUUCUGUAGCAAGGUUAACCGAAUAGGGGAGCCGAAGGGAAACCGAGUCUUAACUGGGCGUUAAGUUGCAGGGUAUAGACCCGAAACCCGGUGAUCUAGCCAUGGGCAGGUUGAAGGUUGGGUAACACUAACUGGAGGACCGAACCGACUAAUGUUGAAAAAUUAGCGGAUGACUUGUGGCUGGGGGUGAAAGGCCAAUCAAACCGGGAGAUAGCUGGUUCUCCCCGAAAGCUAUUUAGGUAGCGCCUCGUGAAUUCAUCUCCGGGGGUAGAGCACUGUUUCGGCAAGGGGGUCAUCCCGACUUACCAACCCGAUGCAAACUGCGAAUACCGGAGAAUGUUAUCACGGGAGACACACGGCGGGUGCUAACGUCCGUCGUGAAGAGGGAAACAACCCAGA
rnacentral:rRNA from 1 species